GCUCAGUAACACGUGGAUAACCUGCCCUAGGGAAGGGGAUAACCCCGGGAAACUGGGGAUAAUACCCUAUAGGUUACAGAUGCUGGAAUGCUCUGUAACCCAAAGUUCCGGCGCCCUAGGAUGGAUCUGCGGCCGAUUAGGUUGUUGUUGGGGUAAUGGCCCAACAAGCCAGUAAUCGGUACGGGUUGUGGGAGCAAGAGCCCGGAGUUGGAUUCUGAGACACGAAUCCAGGCCCUACGGGGCGCAGCAGGCGCGAAAACUUUACAAUGCGGGCAACCGUGAUAAGGGAACCUCGAGUGCCUGUAAAUGCAGGCWGUUUAGGUGUUUAAAACGCACCUGGAGAAAGGGCCGGGCAAGACCGGUGCCAGCCGCCGCGGUAAUACCGGCGGCUCGAGUGGUGGCCACUUUUAUUGGGCUUAAAGCGUUCGUAGCUGGGUUGUUAAGUCUCUUGGGAAAUCUGGCGGCUUAACCGUCAGGCGUCUAAGGGAUACUGGCAAUCUUGGAACCGGGAGAGGUGAGGGGUACUUCGGGGGUAGGAGUGAAAUCCUGUAAUCCUSGAGGGACCACCUGUGGCGAAGGCGCCUCACCAGAACGGCUUCGACAGUGAGGGACGAAAGCUGGGGGAGCAAMCCGGAUUAGAUACCCGGGUAGUCCCAGCCGUAAACUAUGURRGCCCCCUUUUAUCGGUGACCACGAGUUACYYGAGGU
rnacentral:rRNA from 1 species